rnacentral:rRNA from 1 species
UAGGGAAUCUUCCGCAAUGGACGCAAGUCUGACGGAGCAACGCCGCGUGAGUGAAGAAGGUUUUCGGUGCGUAAAACUCUGUUGUUAGAGAAGAACAAGUGCUAGAGUAACUGUUAGCGCCUUGACGGUAUCUAACCAGAAAGCCACGGCUAACUACGUGCCAGCAGCCGCGGUAAUACGUAGGUGGCAAGCGUUGUCCGGAUUUAUUGGGCGUAAAGCGAGCGCAGGCGGUUCCUUAAGUCUGAUGUGAAAGCCCCCGGCUCAACCGGGGAGGGUCAUUGGAAACUGGGGAACUUGAGUGCAGAAGAGGAGAGUGGAAUUCCAUGUGUAGCGGUGAAAUGCGUAGAUAUAUGGAGGAACACCAGUGGCGAAGGCGACUCUCUGGUCUGUAACUGACGCUGAGGCUCGAAAGCGUGGGUAGCAAACAGGAUUAGAUACCCUGGUAGUCCACGCCGUAAACGAUGAGUGCUAAGUGUUGGAGGGUUUCCGCCCUUCAGUGCUGCAGUUAACGCAUUAAGCACUCCGCCUGGGGAGUACGACCGCAAGGUUG